CGCAACAAUUUCCCGCAGCUGCCGAG
rnacentral:sRNA from 1 species